rnacentral:rRNA from 1 species
UAAAACUUUCAACAACGGAUCUCUUGGUUCUGGCAUCGAUGAAGAACGCAGCGAAAUGCGAUAAGUAAUGUGAAUUGCAGAAUUUAGUGAAUCAUCGAAUCUUUGAACGCACAUUGCGCCCCUUGGUAUUCCGAGGGGCAUGCCUGUUCGAGCGUC